rnacentral:rRNA from 1 species
CGCAUCUGUGCAUGCAGCAUAUCAAUAAGCGGAGGAAAAGAAACUAACAAGGAUUCCCUCAGUAACGGCGAGUGAAGCGGGAAGAGCUCAAAUUUGAAAUCUUGAAAGGUCACCUUUCACGAAUUGUAGUUUAAAGAAGUGUUUUCUGUUACGAUCGUAAUAUAAGUUCUUUGGAAUAGGACAUCACAGAGGGUGAGAAUCCCGUCUAUGAUUGCGAUUUGUAGCUUUGUGAUACACUUUCAAAGAGUCGGGUUGUUUGGGAAUGCAGCCAAAACGGGAGGUAAAUUUCUUCUAAGGCUAAAUAUUGGCGAGAGACCGAUAGCGAACAAGUACCGUGAGGGAAAGAUGAAAAGAACUUUGAAAAGAGAGUUAAAUAGUACGUGAAAUUGUCAAAAGGGAAGCGUUUAACACCAGUGUUGUUUUCUGAAAAUCAACCUCUGUUAGCUUUAUGCAUGUUUGUUUAGACCUAAUCAGCUAUCUUGCAUGUUCUAUUGUUUGCAGUGGUGCACUUUUCAGUUUACAGGUCAACAUCAGUUUUUUUUACCGUAAAAAGUUAAAGAAAGGUAGCUCAUGGCUCCGGUCGUGAGUGUUAUAGUCUUUUUCCUAUGCGGUAGGAGAGACUGAGGUCUGCAGUGUAGGCUAUUUGGCUAGAUACUCAGGUGCUAUGUGAUACCAUUUCAUAAACAACUUGUUGAUUAUGUUUUGUCUAUUGCAUACUCGCUUGUACUAUCAUACCUACGCUUAGGAUGUUGACGAUCAGCUGAGCGCG